UAUGGAAUUCAAAUUUUGAUUUACUUGGAUUUAAUGCAAGCAUUAGAAAGAUGAAAGAGAAAGUGGAUAGAUUCAUCAGAUGGGUCAAAGAAUAUAGCUCAAAUGGAGCUAACCGUUCACAAAAUGAGAACCUAAGGCAUAUUCUUAGAUAUAAAAACAAAAUCCAUCGCAGCUAAUUAUUACAUCUUAUCCUGCCAACUGGAGAAAGCCAAAGUGAUCCUGAAAGAGAUAGAGGCUGAUGAUUUAAGAGGGAGAUAUUGGCUGGAAAGACAUCUAUUACCACUGUACGCUAAGCUUGGCAAAGAAAAAAGAGGUAGCUAGAAUUUUUAAGAUUUGCACAAGUUAUCAAGAUUGGAAUUCAAGCAUACGGGAUAUUAGGGAAAGUAAAUGAAGCUGCAGCUGUAUUUGAAAUGAUGUCAAAGAGAUGGUCAAAUAUUACUUCCAAAGACUGCUGGAGUUUACUAAGCAUUUACAUCACAAACAAUAUGGUGGAAGGCAAAAAUUUCAUUGAACUAAUGAGAGUAAGUGGGUGGCAGAUGAGCCCGUCAAUUUUAGAUAAUACUGUUAAAUUAUUAGUUCAAAUAGGGGAAGUGGAAGAAGCAAAGGCUCUACUGCAAAAGGAAUUAACCUACAAAAACUUCAAGCAUUUAAGUUUACCUAUAUUGCUAUUAUAGAGGAGUAUGAUAAGAGGGGGGACUACUACAAUUCAGAGAAGAUUGUGCACCAAAUGAAACAAAACUACGAGCUGUGAUGGCACUGAUUUCUGUGUUUGUUUCUUUUUUUUGGUAAAAUCUGUGUUUGUCUCUCUGUAAGACAUUAUCGUAGUUUCAUUAAUUAGUAGUUUCAUUAACUGUGUCUUGACAACAUGUACAAGCAUAUUUGGAUAUGGACAGAUAGCUGAAUGGAGAUCAUCAAUGAUAUUAUCAACUUUAUACUGUAGUUUUACAGAUAGAUACUAAGACAUUUGAGUUGUAAUAUUACCAAAAAUGGAAAGCAAAGACAGAAAAGCUGCAAUACCCUUUAAGAAAGCUUGUGUAACACAAUUAGUUUGAGAUUAAAUGAUGUUUGUAUUUUGUUGGACUAUUAUGCGCACCUGAAUGCCAUUCAAGUCCAUUCUUCAUUAGACUCUAUUUCUUCCCUGAUUAUUGACUUCUUAAUCCUCUUUAAUUUGUUGACAUCAAUAGACUGGUGUCAAUCAUGUUGGCCUUGAUAUCAGAUAAGAUGCAGAUUAACUGAGUUUCAUUCCAGUAAUUGCAGCACUGAAGAUAUCGGAUUGAAUGACCUUGAAAAAUAGAAUUUUGUUUCUUCUUUUCAUCAUCUUUUGUGCAAAAAUGAUAUGAUCUUAACUUCUUAAUUCUUCUGCAUGGCAGGAAAAAAGGAAGGCUGCUUAAGAUCUUCGAAGGCUGGUGUGAUAAUGUAACAGAUCUGCUACUUGCCACAGAAGAAGAGGCUAUUCUGCGGUGAGAUAUUUACGACAGGACACCAACAAUGACCUGGGGAAAGGGCCGUGUGACUUUGCUUGCUGACUCUAUCCAUGCUCAUGCUAUGCAACCAUAAUAUGGGCCAAGGAGGAUGCAUGGCUAUUGAGGAUGGCUAUCAACUUGCUUGGGAGUUGGACAAUGCUUGGGAACAAAGUAUAAAAUCAGGAUCUAAGAUUGACAUUAACCUUGAGAUACAAGAGAGAAAGAAGGCUACAAAUUGCCAUUAUUCAUGGAAUGGCUAGAAUGGCAGCUAUGAUUGCUUCCACCUACAGAGCAUACUUGGGAGUUGGUCUUGGCCCUUUAGAGGUAGGAAAUUCUUGUUCAUAACUGGCAUCAUGAAGAAGAAACUGAAGGCGACACUUUAAAUUUAAAUGCCGCAAAAAACUAGCACGAUUUCUUUCCUCACUGUUGUGAUGAGCAAAGCAGUGUAAAAGCGGAAGAGAGGAAGAAGACUAAACUGAAGUUUAUUCCUUUGUUUUUUGAGCAAAUAUCGGAUACCACACCCAGGAAGAGUUGGAGGAAGGUUUUUCAUUCAGAAGAUGAUGCCUAUGAUGUUGAGUUGGGUCUUAGGUGGCAAUAGCUCCAAGCUUGAAGGUAGACCAGUAUGUUGCAGGCUCUCAGACAAAGUAUGCCACUCAAAUACAGUUUCCUUUAUACUUUGUUACUAAGAAGAAAUUAAUGACACACCUGGACUAUUCUAUUGAUUAUGUCUAUCAGAGUGUGGUAUGGAUUCUAAUAGGCAUUUGAUUUGGUUAUGUAUGAAGGCAAAUGACCAGUUACACAUGGUUUGUAGAGGAUGAUGCUCUUGAGCGUACUAUUAAUGGAGAGGAUUGAGUCAAUGAAACUAGGAUCAGGACUGGAUUUCAAACCGGUCAAGACUGAUUCUCAACUCUCAAGCCAGAUCAACCUGUAACUCUUUCUUCGGGUUUCCAAUCUGACACACUUUCUAAAUUUUGGGUCAAACAAACUGAGUCUUCUGAAAUAUUGAUUCUGCCAAAACACAAGUGUGCGAGCUACUGAUUGCUCAAUUUUAUUGGAUGACGCUGGUUUCAAGACCACAAACAGCAUUAGCUAUGUAUUAAACGAUACUUCGCCGUUUACCAAUGCGAUAUAUUUGAAUUUAUGUUGACCAGGAAAGAGGGAAACAACUCAUCACCAUCUGGGCGGAAGCCACAGUAUAGUAAAUUAUACAAAAAGAAAGAAAAUGACUUGCACUCUUACACCUCUCUCCAUUCAUAAAUGAUACUCCAUAGUCCAUCCAUUAAAUUACUAGUGCAUUUUUAAACACUUCUUUUUAAUCACGUUAAUUUUCCGAAGUAAUAUCUUGUGAUCUUGUCCAAAUAAACAAUUACAUAAGGUUCUAGACAAUGUAAUCAUUUUAACAUGCAACUUAGGUGUUGAUAAAAAAAAAAAAAAUCAAUUUUCCUAUAUAAAAAAAAAAGGCAGAAAGAGAGAGAAGAGAGAAAAAAAAGAAAGGGGGGGGGGGGGGUUUCCAAUCCUUACGGCAGAAUAAAUAAUGAUCGUGGCCAAACAAAAUUCAAGAUUUUGCAUACUGAUUUCACAUGUUAUCUAUUCUCUGUCUACUUUCUUUCUCUACAAUGAAAGAAUAACAACUAAGGAAAUAUAAGACACAAAAUGAUAACU